UACGUAGGGGGCAAGCGUUGUCCGGAUUUAUUGGGCGUAAAGAGCGUGUAGGCGGCCAUGCAGGUCAGCUGUGAAAACUCGAGGCUCAACCUCGAGACGUCGGUUGAAACCGUAUGGCUAGAGUCCGGAAGAGGAGAGUGGAAUUCCCGGUGUAGCGGUGAAAUGCGCAGAUAUCGGGAAGAACACCUAUGGCGAAGGCAGCUCUCUGGGUCCCUACCGACGCUGGGGUGCGAAAGCAUGGGGAGCGAACAGG
rnacentral:rRNA from 1 species